GAGAAGAGCCCUGAGGCACACAAGGCUGGGGGCCAGAACAAGCUUGAGACAGACCCAACAGCCAAAACAAGCAGAAAGUGAGAUCCUGAGUCCUCCAGAGCCUGCAAAGGGUAACCCACUCUCUCCUGCAGCUAUCUACUAACAGGUACCUCGACAUCCUGAACACUGGAUAAAGAAGUUGAUUAAAUCCAGAAGUGCUAUAUCCCUGUCUUGUUUAUAUGAUUCAAUCCAGUCGUCCACCACAGACUGUCAAGAAAAAGAAAAAACAUAUCAGAUACUCUUAAAAAGAUUUACAAAUGCAAAUGACUUUUCAGAACAAUCUUUUCAGACAGUAAUUUUAUAACUGAGAAUGUACUUCCCACAACUGUGUGAGUACAAAUUCAGAAAUCAAAAUGCCUUCCUUAGCCGGUGGAGACAUAAUAAAUACUGCUAGAGCCCAGGUCUACAUGCAUUGUUUUCUAGUGUUAUAGUAGGGUAAAUAGUUAGCUGUUCAAAGGCAAAAUAAUUAAAAAAACAAAACUGUGCUUGAGGUAUUUAUUCAAUCUAACAAGUUUGUUGAACAGAAACAUUCUGUCUUAUUUCAGAACUCCACCAAGAAAACAUUCAGCAGGGUAACACUCUCUGGGGAUAAGCAUCUCAUUUAUUUUGCAAGAUGGAAGCCUUCUAAUGUUGAUAAUGGUCAAUGAGCCAUGGGUCACAAUUUUAGAAUACAGUACAUGAUUUGAUUAAACAGUUGGUGAUGGGAAACAUUCUAAACUAAAAAAUAAUAGGUGGAACUUCUUUAUGCUGAUUGUGGCUGACAACCAAAGAGCCACCUAUAGCAUUGCAACAAAAAACUGAGCCAUGGUCUCACAGAACUCAAGUGGGGACCACAGUAUUGGGGAAACAUUUACAUUACUCAUAACAAGGUGUACAAAGUCUGCCAUCAACAGUUAUGAUAGCAGGGAGG